rnacentral:rRNA from 1 species
AAUCCAUAGGUUAAUGAGGCGAACCGGGGGAACUGAAACAUCUAAGUACCCCGAGGAAAAGAAAUCAACCGAGAUUCCCCCAGUAGCGGCGAGCGAACGGGGAGGAGCCCAGAGCCUGAAUCAGCAUGUGUGUUAGUGGAAGCGUCUGGAAAGGCGCGCGAUACAGGGUGACAGCCCCGUACACAAAAGCGCAUGUGCUGUGAGCUCGAUGAGUAGGGCGGGACACGUGGUAUCCUGUCUGAAUAUGGGGGGACCAUCCUCCAAGGCUAAAUACUCCUGACUGACCGAUAGUGAACCAGUACCGUGAGGGAAAGGCGAAAAGAACCCCGGCGAGGGGAGUGAAAAAGAACCUGAAACCGUGUACGUACAAGCAGUGGGAGCACCCUUUGGGUGUGACUGCGUACCUUUUGUAUAAUGGGUCAGCGACUUAUAUUCUGUAGCAAGGUUAACCGAAUAGGGGAGCCGGAGGGAAACCGAGUCUUAACCGGGCGUUAAGUUGCAGGGUAUAGACCCGAAACCCGGUGAUCUAGCCAUGGGCAGGUUGAAGGUUGGGUAACACUAACUGGAGGACCGAACCGACUAAUGUUGAAAAAUUAGCGGAUGACCUGUGGCUGGGGGUGAAAGGCCAAUCAAACCGGGAGAUAGCUGGUUCUCCCCGAAAGCUAUUUAGGUAGCGCCUCGUGAAUUCAUCUCCGGGGGUAGAGCACUGUUUCGGCUAGGGGGCCAUCCCGGCUUACCAACCCGAUGCAAACUGCGAAUACCGGAGAAUGUUAUCACGGGAGACACACGGCGGGUGCUAACGUCCGUCGUGAAGAGGGAAACAACCCAGACCGCCAGCUAAGGUCCCAAAGUCAUGGUUAAGUGGGAAACGAUGUGGGAAGGCCCAGACAGCCAGGAUGUUGGCUUAGAAGCAGCCAUCAUUUAAAGAAAGCGUAAUAGCUCACUGGUCGAGUCGGCCUGCGCGGAAGAUGUAACGGGGCUAAACCAUGCACCGAAGCUGCGGCAGCGACACUGUGUGUUGUUGGGUAGGGGAGCGUUCUGUAAGCCUGUGAAGGUGUGUCGUGAGGCAUGCUGGAGGUAUCAGAAGUGCGAAUGCUGACAUAAGUAACGAUAAAGCGGGUGAAAAGCCCGCUCGCCGGAAGACCAAGGGUUCCUGUCCAACGUUAAUCGGGGCAGGGUGAGUCGACCCCUAAGGCGAGGCCGAAAGGCGUAGUCGAUGGGAAACGGGUUAAUAUUCCCGUACUUGGUGUUACUGCGAAGGGGGGACGGAG